GCCCGGCUAGCUCAGUCGGUAGAGUAUGAGACCCUUAAUGUCAGGGUAAUGGGUUCGAGCCCCACGUUGGGCG
rfam:Danio rerio chromosome 4, GRCz11 reference primary assembly.